rnacentral:rRNA from 1 species
CCUACGGGCGGCAGCAGUGGGGAAUAUUGCACAAUGGGGGAAACCCUGAUGCAGCGACGCCGCGUGAGUGAAGAAGUAUUUCGGUAUGUAAAGCUCUAUCAGCAGGAACGAGACAAGACGGUACCUGACUACGAAGCCCCGGCUAACUACGUGCCAGCAGCCGCGGUAAUACGUAGGGGGCAAGCGUUAUCCGGAAUCACUGGGUGUAAGGGGAGCGUAGACGGCUGAGCAAGCCUGAAGUGAAAGGCGGGGGCCCAACCCCCGGACUGCUUUGGGAACUGUACGGCUGGAGUGCAGGAGAGGUAAGUGGAAUUCCUAGUGUAGCGGUGAAAUGCGUAGAUAUUAGGAGGAACACCAGUGGCGAAGGCGGCUUACUGGACUGUAACUGACGUUGAGGCUCGAAAGCGUGGGGAGCAAACAGGAUUAGAUACCCUAGUAGUC